AACGAACGCUGGCGGCAUGCCUAAUACAUGCAAGUCGAACGAUCACUUCGGUGGUAGUGGCGCACGGGUGCGUAACGCGUGGGAAUCUGCCCUUGGGUUCGGAAUAACGUCGGGUAACUGACGCUAAUACCGGAUGAUGACGUAAGUCCAAAGAUUUAUCGCCCAGGGAUGAGCCCGCGUAGGAUUAGCUAGUUGGUGGGGUAAAGGCCUACCAAGGCGACGAUCCUUAGCUGGUCUGAGAGGAUGAUCAGCCACACUGGGACUGAGACACGGCCCAGACUCCUACGGGAGGCAGCAGUAGGGAAUAUUGGACAAUGGGGGCAACCCUGAUCCAGCAAUGCCGCGUGAGUGAUGAAGGCCUUAGGGUUGUAAAGCUCUUUUACCCGGGAUGAUAAUGACAGUACCGGGAGAAUGAGCUCCGGCUAACUCCGUGCCAGCCGCCGCAGUAA
rnacentral:rRNA from 1 species